CUGCCUUUUGCAUAUACUAGUAAUAUAUGAGUAAAUGAAAAUAUAUGUCAAACGUCAACUUUAUGACAACUUUAUAAAAUGAUUUAUGAAGAUGAUAAAAUAAAUACCUCCUGUAAAUCAAUAUUUACUCGAAACUUCUCAUCUAAAAUAAUCACCGUAAAACUUGCCUUGUCAGGUUCAUGGUAGUAUUGAAUGAUCAGCUCUCGUAGCCAAUAAUUAUAUGCAAAUGUUUAUUUGAAUAAAACAUGUUGAAAUGUUUGAGACUUUUUUGUUAUUAAUUAGCAGAGAAGUAAAGUAAGCAAAAAGCAUCUGUACUAUUUUUAAUAUAUACACAAACAUUUUGUUUCUUAUCAACAUAUACUCCCAUGAC
rnacentral:lncRNA from 1 species